UAGCCGUAAACGAUACUCGCUAGGUGUCGGCCACGGUGCGACCGUUGUCGGUGCCGUAGGGAAGCCGUGAAGCGAGCCACCUGGGAAGUACGGCCGCAAGGCUGAAACUUAAAGGAAUUGGCGGGGGAGCACAACAACGGGUGGAGCUUGCGGUUUAAUUGGAUUUCAACGCCGGAAAUCUUACCGGGACCGACAGCAACAUGAAGGCCAAGCUGAAGACUUUGCCGGAUUAGCUGAGAGGUGGUGCAUGGCGUAGUCGUAU
rnacentral:rRNA from 1 species